GACGAACCGUGCGAACGUUAUUCGGAAUCACUGGGCUUAAAGCGCGUGUAGGCGGGUCGGCACGUCGGCUGCUGAAAUCCCCCGCUCAACCGGGGAAGUGGCACCGAUACGACCGACCUGGAGGGGGGUAGGGGGAGCCGGAACUUCCGGUGGAGCGGUGAAAUGCGUUGAGAUCGGAAGGAACGCCCGUGGCGAAAGCGGGCUCCUGGACCCCACCUGACGCUGAGACGCGAAAAGCCAGGGGAGCGAACGGG
rnacentral:rRNA from 1 species